GUUAGAUGUCGCUGUAGAUUUAGCAGUACAUUACUGUAAAAAUCCACAGUACUAUACUGUAUGUGUACAUUACAGUACAGUACUGCAGUUCAUAAUGCAUUCUGGGUAAAUUUGUUUGAGCGGGAACAUUUUACAGUAUCUUUUGGUCUUGAUGUAACCUUGCUGUAGCCAUUGCUGUAAUGUGCCAGGUGUACUUGCAAUAAUCAGAGAAAGUGCGCCAACGUCAAAUCACACAGACAGAGGGAGAGAGAGCACAACUCCUGGCUGCAGCUGAAGGAGGACGAUUGAUUUCUGGCAGUUCGUCUUACCAUUGCUUGUAAGUCGGAUUGGGUAAGAUGGAUCAUCUUUAAAGGAACCAGGAGUUAAGGCAGAUGUGGAGGCACAACGGGUGAUACCAGACACACACCAAGCACAUUAUGUUCGGACAUUCAAUCAUGACAUGAUCCAGGUGGAUGCUGUCCAUUGAGGAAAGAGUUUGUUUAGCGGUUUCUGGAUAGAAUUAAUUCCAAAGAUGGGAAAAAGUGCACAUCCAGACAAGGAGCAAGCAAAUAGACAAGGAACUUGGUGCAGAGAAAAGCUGUGGCCAUUGACCCCCAUGUGAACAGCUUCAUGCAGUCCCUGAUUGAGUUCGAAUGGACGACUUCAAAGUAAAGGCCACUGUGGUCUGUCUGCCACAGUUUAAUGCAUUUAUUUUUAGUGUUAAAUGAAAUUCAAGUAGAAUAUUUAAAACUAUGGGCCAGUGUUCUUUUUACCACAGUGAAAUGUUACCUUUUAGUCGAUGAUGGACUUUAAACUGAAAACUUCAAACUAUGGAAGAGUGUUCUAUUUGCCAGAGUUAAAUAUGUUACAGCAGGGGUCUCCAAACUUGUUUAUACUUGU